UUCUUUUUAGAAAGGCAAGCCCGAUAGCAUUCCCUAAAAUGUCCAAAAACACAGAAUCGAGCAUAACAGAGGAUUGAAUUCCAAAACCACACCCAAAAAGCAGCUGGACUCAUUAGUCAUUACUACUUUUUGGAUUUUAAAUGGGAAAGAUGGAACUGGAUUCAUUUAGUAUAACUGGGGAAAAAAUUGCUCCAUCAGUGCACAUUUAAACCAUGUCAUGCAUGACUACUACUACAGUUGGUUAAUAGUCAUAGAGCUAGCUAUCUAUAUUUCUGACGAGUCUAUUGUCCAUACUCUUUGAGAAGUCAAUAGCCUCAUAUGUUUGGUUUUAUUGUUUGGCUAUUUGGCUUCUUUGCUGAUAUGAGGUACUGGGAAACUCUUCUCAAUGGAAUGUAGACAUAUCUGAUUAGUGCUUAGUCACGUUCUCUUAUUGGUUUUUGACAGGCCUCCGUCCUCUCCUUUUCUCUAUCUUAUUUUGGUUGUGUGUGCGCACGCGCGUGCGUAUGCAGUUUUGACUACUCGAAUGAUUAGCUGACAUUUUGUGUUAUUUUUGUACCUACUACUAUUGAAAAGCUUUUGUAUUGUUUAAUGUGUGCUUAUCUCUUUGUAUCACAGUGAGAUUACUGCUGAAGGAAGAAGGAUAACCAAGCUUGGUCAGAUUUUACUCAACGGAAACAACAUUGCCAUUCUGGUCCUAGGUGGCUCCCCUGAAUCAGAGUAAUAGAGCAACGGAAGUCUACAAUCUAUCAGUUGAAGUUUUGCUAUGUGGUUCAAGAUUCAAGAAUGGAGACCCAGAUUUUUGUUGUUGCUAGUUGACAUGGUUGUAGGACGUGGUAGGGAACUCGUAUGAUGGAUGGUUAUGUUUCUUCUGAAUUCUAGUUGCUCUAAGUGGUUUUAAAUGCACUGAUAAUGUGAUUUGGAUAUAAACUUUAAUUUUCUGAUAUGUAAUGGAAGUUUAGCAGUUCAGUUGCUGACAAAUAUAUUAAUAUGCUAAUUGAAGA